rnacentral:rRNA from 1 species
GAUGAACGCUGGCGGCGUGCCUAAUACAUGCAAGUCGAGCGAACAGAUGAGGAGCUUGCUCCUCUGACGUUAGCGGCGGACGGGUGAGUAACACGUGGAUAACCUACCUAUAAGACUGGGAUAACUUCGGGAAACCGGAGCUAAUACCGGAUAAUAUAUUGAACCGCAUGGUUCAAUAGUGAAAGACGGUUUUGCUGUCACUUAUAGAUGGAUCCGCGCUGCAUUAGCUAGUUGGUAAGGCAACGGCUUACCAAGGCAACGAUGCGUAGCCGACCUGAGAGGGUGAUCGGCCACACUGGAACUGAGACACGGUCCAGACUCCUACGGGAGGCAGCAGUAGGGAAUCUUCCGCAAUGGGCGAAAGCCUGACGGAGCAACGCCGCGUGAGUGAUGAAGGUCUUCGGAUCGUAAAACUCUGUUAUUAGGGAAGAACAAAUGUGUAAGUAACUAUGCACGUCUUGACGGUACCUAAUCAGAAAGCCACGGCUAACUACGUG